rnacentral:rRNA from 1 species
UACGGGGGGGGCAAGCGUUGUUCGGAAUUACUGGGCGUAAAGGGCGCGUAGGUGGCUAACUGAGUCGGACGUGAAAUCCCUCGGCUUAACCGGGGAACUGCGUCUGAUACUGGAUGGCUUGAGUUCGGGAGAGGGAUGCGGAAUUCCAGGUGUAGCGGUGAAAUGCGUAGAUAUCUGGAGGAACACCGGUGGCGAAGGCGGCAUCCUGGACCGACACUGGCGCUGAGGAGCGAAAGCCAGGGGAGCAAACGGG